rnacentral:rRNA from 1 species
GACGAACGCUGGCGGGCGUGCUUAACACAUGCAAGUCGAACGAAGAGCGAUGGAAGCUUGCUUCUAUCAAUCUUAGUGGCGAACGGGUGAGUAACGCGUAAUCAACCUGCCCUUCAGAGGGGGACAACAGUUGGAAACGACUGCUAAUACCGCAUACGAUCUAAUCUCGGCAUCGAGGAUAGAUGAAAGGUGGCCUCUACAUGUAAGCUAUCACUGAAGGAGGGGAUUGCGUCUGAUUAGCUAGUUGGAGGGGUAACGGCCCACCAAGGCGAUGAUCAGUAGCCGGUCUGAGAGGAUGAACGGCCACAUUGGGACUGAGACACGGCCCAGACUCCUACGGGAGGCAGCAGUGGGGAAUCUUCCGCAAUGGACGAAAGUCUGACGGAGCAACGCCGCGUGAGUGAUGACGGCCUUCGGGUUGUAAAGCUCUGUUAAUCGGGACGAAAGGCCUUCUUGCGAAUA